GGUUGCGUAGUGUAGCGGUUAUCACUCCAGAUUCUGAUUACGCGACUUCUGGCAACCCCGGUUCGAUUCCGGGCGCGACCU